UGCCAAUUGCAGUCUGGUGUGUCCUCAGG
rnacentral:piRNA from 1 species